AAUCUGAUUGCUAUAGAAAUCAAAUCCUAUUUUUAUUGGAUUUUGAUUCGUUUCUUCUAGAGUGAUUCAUUUAAUCCCAUUUCCAUUAAUAUUUUUUAGGUGCCAAAUGCAACCUAAGGCUCAAGGAACGGGGGUGUUCCAUAGAUGUGUUGUGCAAAGUACCAGGAGGCCAAUCUGCCAGCAAUCAGAAUUUGUGAAGAGGGCAAAUGGGAAGUCGCAGUAAGGGCAACUACACAAACCCAUGUCUCACGUUGCAUCAACCAUGGGCUUCAUUGUUGGUUUAUGGUAUUAAGCGCGUCGAAGGACGAUCGUGGCCUGCUCCUCUCAGAGGCCGACUUUGGAUUCAUGCUGCUAGUAAGGUCCCAGAUUCAGACACAAUCAAAGCAAUGGAGAAUUUCUACAGGGAGAUCUAUGCUGUGAAUGGGAUAGCAGACCUCAAGUUUCCAGAACAUUACCCAGUUUCAAGACUGUUAGGUUGUGUUGAAGUAGUUGGUUGUGUUAAAUGUGAAGAGCUGGCGUGCUGGAAGGAGGUACCUGAAGGGGUAAGGCUAGAAGCGCAAACAGAGUUUUGCUGGCUCUGUGAGCAACCACAGAAAUUAAUCAUACCAUUUGAGAUGCGCGGGUACCAACGUAUUUAUAACCUGGAAAGAAAAAUAUAUGAGGCAGCAGUUAGGGGUCUUCGUCCUGUUCAAGCUCCACUACCUGUCAAGUUUCUGCUUCCAGAACCACAAGAUCCUCUCUCUUUGAAACCAGGAUCACUUGUUUCUUGCUUUGAUGGCUCUAAAGCUGCUGAAGACAAGAAACCAGAAGGUCUCCUUGCAGCCAUAGCUGGUGCACGAGCAGCUGCCACACAGUUCUCAAAGAAUGAUAAUCACCAAUCCAUAACAAUGCAAGGACAAGAUGCAGAUGUUUCCACAAGAACAAGGGAAGAAUCCGAGGAAUUUGAGAAGCUGGAUAGUGAAUUAAUUAAGAGGGCUGAUGCCAAAACACAAAGAAAUGCAGAAUAGCAACAUGGGAUCUGAAGGAACUUACCACUUUGGGGCUGCUGGAGGUGUUCAUUUUCCUCCCUUAAGCUAUUACUCUUAUCAAGAAGUCACUAUCUGCAUAUUUUCACUUUGUUCCCUAAGGCAGUGACAAUAUGAGUGGCAUAUGAUCGCAGGGAGAAGUAAUUGAAAGUCAGUGACAAUAUGAGUGGUGUAUGAUUCCAGGGAGAAGCAAUUCAAAUCUUAAAGCCUGUGGAAUUUAUACCUGCUUUAUUUAAUUUUAAUGUGUACAUAUGUGAAUACUGGUUGUUGAAGACUCUGGGAAACCCACACGACCUUUGUGACUUACUUUCAAGGUUCUGAUCUCCUUAGCAACUGAAGAUAAUAUUGGAGAGAACCCUGUACAAUAUUUCUAAUACAUUCCUAUGGUUUCCUGGUUAGAAUUGAGGCUUUUAGGAGUACUUUCAUAUUUCCUGAUGGGGAACUGGAUAAUAAUUUUAUCAAUUUCCUUUCUUAUGUAAUAAUGGCUAUGAAUAAUUUUCCUUGUUUGGAAAAUAAGUUUCUUUGUAGUAUGUGGUUCUCUUAUGGCAAUAUAUGUUAUGCUAAUCCAUUUUUACAUUAA